rnacentral:lncRNA from 7 species
AGUACUUACGUGUGGUGCUAAGGAGGAGUUUUUCUGUAAGCAGUGAAUUUGCUUUGUGCUUUUUGAGUUGGUUCUUUUUUUCCCCACUUUCUUCAUAACUUCAGCAGGCAGGAUGUGGAUACUGGGAGAAAAAAGCAGAAAAGAAGCAGAGGAUGAAAAGAAAGCUGACUACCUGGGCUGCUGCUGGGAUGGGACAUGCUAGAGCUUUUCAGAAGGCCAUUCUAUGAUUCAAUGCAAUGCACCUGAGUGACCCAGAUGUCGUUUAAGGGUUGGCAGUGGAAGCAAGAGCGUCUCUUGCAAGAGAUCCUUGCCUACCUGAAGUCUUCCAAAGCUUACCCCACUGUUUUCUUACGUGUUUUUGUUAUGCAACUGUUACACAGACGUGCCAUGUAAGCCUGUACGUGUGUGCAGAUGGAUUCUUCACAGCUACCUGAAGACACAAAGCACAGACAGCAGUGUGACAAAUACACCAUGGCUGGAUGGGACUCAGGAGAGUAGUUAGCUGCCUCUUCUCAUGCCAUGCUGGAAGUGCUUAGUGAUUACUUCCUAUAUUUGUGACCUUUAAAAUGGAGACACUGUCACCUUUCUCUAAAGAGGCUAGAAAAAAAUUAAGAUGGUAAGGUCCAAAGAUGGGUGUUACUUAAGAAGUGAUGUUCUUGCUUAGUCUGUACAAGGCAACCUAAGAAGGAACAAAUGAUCAAGCAUUUUCUGAUGGCUUUGAAAGGAGAUGGCAUCUGCUGAAGUCCAGGUGAAUUUAUUAGUGGAUUAAACCUGACUCACUAAAGCAUGCUGCCUGAUUCUGUGCUCCCUACUGGGGCAUAUACAAGUGUAGAGGGUAACUGAUAUAUUUCAUAACUAAUAGUUUUAAAGGUUAAUAGUUCUUAUUUCUAUACGAGUAUUGAUAAUGUACAUACGUGUAAGUUUUAUAUAGAUAAAACUUAUAUAGUUAAUCAAGAUUAUCAGAGGAUUGGAUUCAUAUAUUUAAGUACCUUUCUUUGGUUUACUUCUACAAUGAGUUUGAUACGCUAUAUAAUUAAAACAUUCAAUGAGAAAAUUUUACCAUCUAAAUCCUGUCAAUGUUU